CGGGUGUGUGCCAGUGUGUCUCCCUCCGAGCCGGCGUCUCCACCCCUGGGAGGGGCCUCAGUGUUUUUGCUGAUCGCUUACAUCUGUGGGUAAUUAGCCGGGGACUCAUAAGGCCAGCGUUCUCAAUCUCUCUUCGCCAGAUUCUCUGCUAAACAUCACUACACCUAACUGUCAACCCCUGGCGAAGAGCUUCUACUUGGAUGCUGGACCUUCUGGCAGUCCCUCAGGCUAUUACCAAAAUUACCUACCUGCCUCUCUGCCUCCACGCCAGGAGUUUUUGGAUUUACACACCCGGACUACUCACCCCUCUAUGUCAUCUCCGACCUCCGUUGGCAAUGACCCCGACCUUUUCCUGGACCCUUUGUGACUUGCUUUCCAGUCCAAUCCCCGGAAUAGCUGUCCUCUCUGACCCAGACCAGAUCGUUAU